AGAGUUUGAUCCUGGCUCAGGAUGAACGCUGGCGGCGUGCCUAAUACAUGCAAGUCGAACGAGGUGCUUUUGUAGCAAUACGAGAGUAUCCUAGUGGCGAACGGGUGAGUAACGCGUUGGUGACCUACCCCAAAGUGUGGGAUAACAGUCCGAAAGGAUUGCUAAUACCGCAUGUGGUUAUUGGAUUUAGAAACUGAUAACUAAAGGAGCAAUUCGCUUUGGGAGGGACCUGCGUCCCAUCAGCUAGUUGGUGAGGUAACGGCUCACCAAGGCUACGACGGGUAGGGGACCUGAGAGGGUGGCCCCCCACAAUGGAACUGAAACACGGUCCAUACACCUACGGGUGGCAGCAGUAGGGAAUAUUGCACAAUGGGCGAAAGCCUGAUGCAGCAACGCCGCGUGUGCGAUGAAGGCCUUCGGGUCGUAAAGCACUUUUCUGAGAGAUGAGAAAGACAGUAUCUCAGGAAUAAGUCUCGGCUAACUACGUGCCAGCAGCCGCGGUA
rnacentral:rRNA from 1 species